rnacentral:sRNA from 1 species
GCGAGUCCGUUAGCAUUAUAAAAUGCUAAA